rnacentral:lncRNA from 1 species
AUGUGGCCUUCCCGCAGAAAGCGCUGGGCCCCCAGGGGAGGGGAGAGGAGGGGGCGUCCCGCCCGGGGGCGCAGCCCCUGCAGCUGCAGCCACCGCCCGCAGGGGAGGCCAGGCCCGGGCUGCAGCCCGAGGGAGGCUGACGCCGAGCCCAGGAGGAAAGCCCUCAGCUCUCAGAUUGCAGAGCGGCGCAACUUUGCGCGCCGGGAGAACCCUCGCCUCCUGCCCGCGCGCUCCCCAGGCCCCAGCCGGGCCUUGGCCUGUCCGCGCACCUGCUCCAAUCCUCAGGCCCGGCAAGAGGGACGGGGCGGGGCCUGGAGGGGAGGGGGCGUCCGACUUCCCCCUUCUAUUUCUCUCGCCUUGUUUCCUCCUUCCCUCCCCCCACGCCGGCCCCGGCCGGACCCGGCCUGUCCGCGCGCUAGCUCCAAUCCCCAGGCGGGAGGGGGUGGGAGAAGCGGGGGAGGGGCCCGAACACAGGGGCGGGGCCUGAGGGGGCGGGGCCCCGAGGGGAGGGGGCGCUCGGUCUGCCGCCCCCAACCCCCAGCCCCCCAGCGAACCUGUUGUGGUCUUGGCGCCGAGCGCGCCCCCUCCGCUCCCUGCGCCCCGGACGCAGCCGCCGCCGCCGCCGCCGUCGCCGCCACCGCCGCCGGGUGGGGGAGAAGGAGGAAGAGGCGGGAGGAGGCUGGGGGAGGCGGCCCCCGGCCGGGGCGGGGCGGGGGCCGGGGCCGGGCCGGGGCUAGGGGGAGAAGAAAGAGAGAGGAGGAGGAGGAGGAGGAAGAAGAGGAGGAGGAGGAAGGAGGAGGAAGGGGGAGGAAGGAGGCGGAGCGCGCCGGUAGUGGCGGCUCUGGGACUCGAGCGCCCGGGCAGGAUGGGGCUGCCGGGGAAGACGCACCGGGCGAUCGGCGAGGUGGGCGCAGUGCCCAGGGGGCUGUGAGCGCCCCAGCCGAACCACCCCGCCCGGCCGGACCACUGCAGCUCUGCCGGGGGCGGCCUAAGAGAGGUCUCCGCGCCCCCCUCUGCCCGCUCAGUCGCCACUGCCGCCGCCAGGCCCCCUCUUCCUCCCCCGCCCCUCGAGAGACCAUGGGCACCGAAAACUUUGUCUCCGCCUGA